CCGUUGCCGGCGACCGGCGCACGGGUGAGUAACACGUAUGCAACCUGCCCGUGGCAGGGGGAUAAGCGGGGGAAACCCCGUCUAAUACCGCGUAACGCGGCCUAGGGACAUCCCAAGGCCGCCAAAGGGAGCAAUCCCGGCCACGGAUGGGCAUGCGGCGCAUUAGCUAGUCGGCGGGGUAACGGCCCACCGAGGCGACGCUGCGUAGGGGUUCUGAGAGGAAGGCCCCCCACACUGGUACUGAGACACGGACCAGACUCCUACGGGAGGCAGCAG
rnacentral:rRNA from 1 species